GCAAACUGGGAAGGCCCCUUUCGGGUGCAAGAAGCUUUCGAAGGAGGAGCAUAUCGUCUAGAGACCAUGGAAGGAAGAAUCCUCCCCAGGACGUGGAACAUAGCAAACUUAAAGUUCUACUACAGCUAACCGCGGGGCAACACGUUUCUGGUGGAAGAAUAAGUAAAACCAUUCUCUUCUUUUAGCAAUAUUUUUAAUGAUGUAUAAGAACCGUUUUCAUAAAUGAAUAAAAAGACAAUGAGACACUCUUUUCCCCUGUUUUAACUGGGGUUUUUAUCGAGGCUCAUUGAAUUUCAAAAUUC
rnacentral:lncRNA from 1 species